UUUCCUAGCAGCCCCGAAUGUAAACAUUGAGUCGAAAAGAUUCAGCCAAUCAGAGCACGGCAGUAGUAGCCAAUCACAGCAAAGGAAGGCGGGACUUCACCGUCUGGGCUUUCCCACCGUUAUCGACGGGAACUGAUUAACGGCUGUGAAUGUUAGCGCGCUGGUUUUAGCAUUAAGCUAUCAUGGCAGACGGAUUUUCAGAGCCAAGUUUGGCCAGAAUGUUACAGCUUUGGUAGUUAGAGAUGUAAAUAAAGAGGGGUUUUCUUUUAUGGGUAGGUAUUUUCAUUUAUUACGUCAAAGUUACCAAUGUAAUUUUCUACAGAAUUCUCAUAAGGAAGCAGACUGUUUCCCAUGGGUAGCUAUCUAUUUUUAGCCUUCUCUUUAAAGCAUGCCAUAGGAGGGUUUGGCAGUUUAUAUUUAGAAAAAGUACAUUUAUGUGAAGGGUACUGUAGUUCAGUACAUGACUGUACAAGUAAAAUGCCACAGAGACAGAAUCAUUUCUCAUGUUACGGUUGAAUAAACAUUUCCUCGGGGGAAUAACUCAUUCCAGAUCAGUUUAUAUGCCGCCCUGGCUUCAUCAUCAUCAUCACUGUCUUGUCUGGCAGUGGCGUUGGAAUUUUUUAAAACUCUGAAACUUAAUGGAAAAUCUGGCUCACAUCCCAAGACCUGCUCAGGUGUAGCAACAAAUUUGAAAGACAGUGAGUUCUGGUAAGGGGCAGGUAGAUUUUAGUGUUGUGAACUAGUUUACAAAGCAACAGGAGGAACAUUUUUCUUCAAGAUACAACAACACUGUCUGUGGCACAUUUCAGAGACAUAUCAGCCUGAAUCUGAUGCAUUAACAUGGCAACAUCCAAACACUGGCCUGUCUGCAGAAUUUUCCUAAAGAGAUGAUCUGCCGCGGCUCGCCUGAUGAUGGAGUGGAGCGGCCGCUUAGAAAGGCACUCGCACGCAGUGUGGUUGACGAAGGUCACCAUGACGACUGAACGAUCCAUCCUGGGCGGGGACAGCUCCAUCAACUGGGCAAAUCAGUUACCGACAACUGUAAAAUAAAUUACGGGGAUGUUGGACAGACAAUCAGACGGGGAAAGAAGAGGAGAGACAGACAGGAGGCCGACAACAAGACGAGAAGGACAAGGAGGGGGGAGAAAGAGGUGUGUCUGGGAAACGCUCGAAUGAGAAAACAUCCGAUUUUCGGGCCAGUCACCGCCAGCCUUCUUCAAGGAUUAAAGACGCACGCUCACACGCACGCACACGUCGGCAAGUGUCUGCUUGCAGUACGCUUUAUGUGUCGAAAUCUGCGCAACCAAAUUCCACAUUCCAGUCAUUGCUUUUCUCAAUUUCAUCAUGUGAGCUGGAUGCAUAGAAUUAGACAUGAUAGAAGGGGGCGUUUAUGUGGCGAAAAACAAGAUACAAACAAAAUACUUGAAAAGGUCAAAGAUUUAAUGAUAAAAGCAAGUAGUAGUAGUAAAAAAGAGGGAAUGAUGUCGUCAAAGAGGUGGAAAUAUAUGUGGCUAAAACACAACAAAAGGCUGUGGCGCUUUUUAAUUUAAGUUUUCAUGAUGAAAUGUAAAAUAGUGAAGGAUAAAAGCUUUUUAUGCUUUCCUACUAAUAGGACGAGUACCCAGUGAUACAGUCCCCAAUGUAUGAGGUAGCAGCAGUGGUAGUGGCAUUUCAGCGAGUAUUGCUCUUUUAAGAAGGACUCGCUGGUUUUACCGGCCAGGAAGCUAGGCUUUACAGUGUAAGA